rnacentral:tRNA from 1 species
UUAAUUGAAGCCAAAAAGAGGCAAAUCACUGUUAAUGAUUUAAUUGAGUCUAUCCUCCAAUUAAA